rnacentral:rRNA from 1 species
ACAGUGGCAGACGGGUGAGUAACGCGUGGGAAUCUACCUAGCUCUACGGAAUAGCUUCGGGAAACUGGAAUUAAUACCGUAUACGCCCUCCGGGGGAAAGAUUUAUCGGAGUUAGAUGAGCCCGCGUUAGAUUAGCUAGUUGGUGGGGUAAUGGCCUACCAAGGCGACGAUCUAUAGCUGGUCUGAGAGGAUGAUCAGCCACACUGGGACUGAGACACGGCCCAGACUCCUACGGGAGGCAGCAGUGGGGAAUAUUGGACAAUGGGCGAAAGCCUGAUCCAGCCAUGCCGCGUGUGUGAUGAAGGCCUUAGGGUUGUAAAGCACUUUCAACGGGGAAGAUAAUGACGGUACCCGUAGAAGAAGCCCCGGCUAACUUCGUGCCAGCAGCCGCGGUAAUACGAAGGGGGCUAGCGUUGUUCGGAAUUACUGGGCGUAAAGCGCGCGUAGGCGGAUUGAUCAGUUAGGGGUGAAAUCCCAAGGCUCAACCUUGGAACUGCCUCUAAUACUGUCAGUCUAGAGUUCUAGAGAGGUGAGUGGAAUUCCGAGUGUAGAGGUGAAAUUCGUAGAUAUUCGGAGGAACACCAGUGGCGAAGGCGGCUCACUGGCUAGAUACUGACGCUGAGGUGCGAAAGUGUGGGGAGCAA